CCUGCACGGCCAGAAACCUCCGGGAAUGCUGCUCUUGCGGCUUUCCCUCAUUCCCAGCAUAGCAGCCCUCGGCCCCCUCCAACCGCCACAUGCUUGGAGCGCGGCCACGAAUGGUGCAGGGAGGAUUAAUAUUCCAGCCCGUCUCCCCCCAGCCCCGCCGUCUACUGGAGCAAGACGGGGAUCCGAACGACCAACACACGCUCGGCGCGGCCGAUCCGAGGCGGCCACGCCCCUGGCACUCUCCGAUCGCCAUGGCGGCCGGUGGCAGCGGGCACGCGGAGCGCACGCCGGGCACCGGGGCAGGGGCGCACGCGCUGCGCGCCGCGGACACGCGGGACUUCGUGCGCACACACGUGCCCGCGUGUUUGCCGGGAAGGCGAGGCCGGCAGGAGGUGCCAGGGACCAGAAGGCCCUCCCCGUGAGAGCAGGGCACAGGCAGGGCUGGCUCCCCGCCUCAGAGAGAGGCCCGGCCGGGAGCGGCCUGGGCAGCAGGCAAACAAGACAGGUUUACUUUGGGUGACCUUCUCCGCUAGAUCCCUGCCUGCCUACUUAAGAAACCCUCUACAUUGGUGAAGAUCAUGGACCUCCAGGAAUACUUUGUGGGUGUUCCCUGCUUCUGUGAAGGGGUUGUGGGUCCCAGGGAAGGAGCGAAGUUUCCUGGUGAGAUAGGAGUUCAGCAGCUCGGAGCCAGAUGGAUGUCACUUGCCAGUCAGCCUCAAAGGAGGGGCUCUUUAAAGGAUGUGUGGGAAGUGGUUAGGUGACACAGUAAAUAAAGCACUGGCC